rnacentral:rRNA from 1 species
AGUACAUGGGAAGGAUAAAAAUUGUUAUAUUCAAUUUUUUAAAAAAUAAGUAUAAAAAGAAAUUAUUAUGAAUUGUCUGCUAUGAACCAAGGCUUAAUGAAUGUAAAGAGCACUGAAAAAUCAGUUAUAUAAACAAAGUAAAUUGAAAUAUCUUAAUAACUUUAGGAAAAUAAAUCAAACGAGAUUCUACAAAAAAUGUGAAGCAAGGUAGAAAAGCUUAUAAGUAAAACGGUAUAUCUGUUUGAAUAAAGGGGAACCUUCCUCUAAAGCUAAAUAUGGUAAUCAUAAGCGAUAGUGAAAAGUACCGUGAGGGAAUACAUGAAAUAGUAGUUUUAUAAGCAGCUUGAGAUAAAUUUAAAUAAAAAACGAAAGCGUACCUUUUGCAUAAUGGGUCAGCAAGUUAAUUAUAAAUGCAAGAUGAUGAAUCUUAGCGAAAGCGAUUGGCAUAACUGAGGAAAGUAUUUAUAAUUAGAUCCGAAACCAGAUGAUCUUUUUAUGGCCAGGUUUUAAGGGACCGAACAGCAAAAUGUUGCAAUAUUUUCUGAUGAGCUGUGAAAAGGGGUGAAAUGCUAAUCUAAUCUGGUGAUAGCUGAUAUUCUGCGAAAUCUAUUUUAGUAGAAAGUUUAUAUAUAGAAGAUUCUUUGUAUAGCACUGAUUUCCAUUUCCAAUAGAUUUACGGAUCUAUUGAUGUAGAAUAAAUUAGGGGAUUAUGAAAUCCUACUAUUGGAAGUUAACCUCAGAAGAAGAAUCUAUUGUUUAUGAACUGACAGUCUAUUUGUGAUAAGGUAAAUAGACAAAAGGGAAACAGCCCAGAUCAUAAAUUAAGGUCCCAAAUAGAUAUUUAGUGAAAAAAAGAAGGUCUUCUAUCUAAUACAACUACAAAGUAAGCUUGGAAGUAGCUAUCUUUUAAUGAUAGUGUAACAACUCAAUAGUCUAAAAUUCUAGAAUUUCGUAAGAAAUUCUAGAUUGAUAGAAGGCAUCGAAGAUUUAUCGGGUCUGAAAUAUCUAACCUACAUUAUGAUCUUAUUUAUUAUUGAAAGUAAUAAUAAAUAGGAAGGUAGCAGAACACUUAGUAUUCAGUGUGAAGAAAUGAAUAAAUUCAUUUUGGACAAUACUAAAGAGAGAAUGCUGGCAUGAGUAACGAUUAAGGAGUUAAAAUACUCCUCGCCGAAAACGAAAGGGUUUCAUGGAAAAGGUAAUCUGCCAUGAUUUAUACGGCUUCUAAGGGAAAUGAACGAAUUGUCAUUUUCUGAUGAAAGAAAGAAAUAAACAACCUUAGAAAUAAGGUUCAGGAAAAAUAUUUCUUCUAUAAAUAGUAACCGUACCUUAAACCGACACAGGUUCGUGGGUAGAGAAUACUAAGGCGUAGAGAUAAGGCUAGUGAAGGAACUCGGCAAAUUGCUUCUGUAAGUUCGACGAUAAAGAAGAAGAGAUAAUGAUGAGAUAUGAAAAUAUCUUAUCUUAUUUCUUGGCACAAAAGUGAGGGCUUCGACUGUUUACUAAAAACACAGCAACUUGCUAAGACGAAAAGUACUUGUAUAAGUUGUGAACUCUGUCCAAUGCCAUUUGUUUAAGGAAGGGAAUCUUCUUCCGGGAAGUGUUCCUGACUGAUGCGGUGGUGAAUGACGGUCUUAACUAUAAGGAUCUGAAAGUAGCGAAAUUCCUUGGCCAUUAAAUGUGGUCCUGCAUGAAUGAGGUAACGCGGCCCUGCUGUCUCCACUAGCUUCUCAGUGAAAUUGAAUUAGCCGUGCAGAUGCGGUUUGCCUUCCGGAGGACGCGAAGACCCUAUGCAGCUUUACUGUAUUCUGAUAUUGCCGUUUGUGAUAUAUAGUGUAGAAUACAAGGGAGUGAAAACAUCCGUGAAAUACCUUGAUAUAUUGAAAUGAAUGGCUUAUUUAUUAAAAGACAGUGUCAGAUGGUCAGUUUUACUGGGGCGGUAGCCUCUAAAAAAGUAUCAGAGGCCUUCAAAGGUAUAUUUAAAUUGGUCGGAAACCAAUGGAAUAAUAGUAUUCUAUCAAAAUGUAAUGAUAAAGUAUGCUUUACUGAAAGAUUGAUAAAUCGAUCAGUUACGCAAGUAGGAUAUAGUGAUCCGAUGAUUCAGAAUGGAAUGAUCAUCGCUCAAGAAAUAAAAGUUACGCUAGGGAUAACAGGUUUAUCGUUUGCGAGAGUUCAUAUUGUCCAAACGGUUUGACACCUCGAUGUCGACUCUUCUCAUCCUCCAGGUGUAGUCGCUUGGAAGGGUUCAGCUGUUCGCUGAGUAAAGAGGAACGUGAGUUGGGUUUAAUACGACGUGAGUCAGUAUAGAUUCUAUCCUCGGAAGGAAACAAGAAUAGAAGAAGAACCUCUAAUUUGUACGAAAGGACCGUUAGAGAGAAUUCCAUGGUGUAUCUAUUGUUGUAGUUUUACUAUGGCACAGUAGAGUAGCCACAAUUCUGAAAGAUAAGUACUGAAAGCAUAUCAAGUGCGAAACAGAUCUUCUGAUAUUCUUUGAAAUAAGAAAAAGACUACUUCUUAUUUGUAGGGUGUAAAUGUAUGUUUAACACUACUAAUGUAUUGAAUAACUUAAUUGU